CCCAUUCUUCUUUUUUAUUAAGGAUCAGACAACGAGGAGGGUUCUGUAUCGAGUUAGAUGCGUUUGAGGGCUUUAUCCAUCAAUUCCCAAGCUUAGAAGAUCCAAUAAACAAGCAUAUGGUGUCACCAAGCUUACUUCAGCUCGGUGGCAUGAUUGUUUAGGGCAUGCAUCUUUUCCUAAAUGAGUGCUUAGGAAUAAUAAGCUCACAUAUGU
rnacentral:lncRNA from 1 species